rnacentral:rRNA from 1 species
AUUGAACGCUGGCGGCAGGCCUAACACAUGCAAGUCGAACGGUAACAGGAAGCAGCUUGCUGCUUCGCUGACGAGUGGCGGACGGGUGAGUAAUGUCUGGGAAACUGCCUGAUGGAGGGGGAUAACUACUGGAAACGGUAGCUAAUACCGCAUAACGUCGCAAGACCAAAGAGGGGGACCCUCGGGCCUCUUGCCAUCGGAUGUGCCCAGAUGGGAUUAGCUAGUAGGUGGGGUAACGGCUCACCUAGGCGACGAUCCCUAGCUGGUCUGAGAGGAUGACCAGCCACACUGGAACGGAGACACGGUCCAGACUCCUACGGGAGGCAGCAGUGGGGAAUAUUGCACAAUGGGCGCAAGCCUGAUGCAGCCAUGCCGCGUGUAUGAAGAAGGCCUUUGGGUUGUAAAGUACUUUCAGCGGGGAGGAAGGGAGUAAAGUUAAUACCUUUGCUCAUUGACGUUACCCGCAGAAGAAGCACCGGCUAACUCCGUGCCAGCAGCCGCAGUAA